rnacentral:rRNA from 1 species
UACGAAGGGUGCUAGCGUUGUUCGGAAUUACUGGGCGUAAAGCGCGCGUAGGCGGCUUCGCAAGUCAGAGGUGAAAUCCCCGGGCUCAACCUGGGAAUGGCAUUUGGGACUGCAAGGCUGGAGUGCGGCAGAGGAGACUGGAAUUCCUGGUGUAGCAGUGAAAUGCGUAGAUAUCAGGAGGAAUACCGAUGGCGAAGGCAGGUCUCUGGGCUGACACUGACGCUCAUGCACGAAAGCGUGGGGAGCAAACAGG